rnacentral:rRNA from 1 species
CCUACGGGCGGCAGCAGUGAGGAAUAUUGGUCAAUGGACGCAAGUCUGAACCAGCCAUGCCGCGUGCAGGAAGACGGCUCUAUGAGUUGUAAACUGCUUUUGUACGAGGGUAAACGCAGAUACGCGUAUCUGUCUGAAAGUAUCGUACGAAUAAGGAUCGGCUAACUCCGUGCCAGCAGCCGCGGUAAUACGGAGGAUUCAAGCGUUAUCCGGAUUUAUUGGGUUUAAAGGGUGCGUAGGCGGUCGGAUAAGUUAGAGGUGAAAUCCCGAGGCUCAACCUCGGAAUUGCCUUUGAUACUGUUCGGCGAGAGAGUAGUUGCGGUAGGCGGAAUGUAUGGUGUAGCGGUGAAAUGCUUAGAGAUCAUACAGAACACCGAUUGCGAAGGCAGCUUACCAAGCUACUUCUGACGUUGAGGCACGAAAGCGUGGGGAGCAAACAGGAUUAGAUACCCCAGUAGUC